UACUCCUACGGGAGGCAGCAGUAGGGAAUCUUCCACAAUGGACGCAAGUCUGAUGGAGCAACGCCGCGUGAGUGAAGAAGGGUUUCGGCUCGUAAAGCUCUGUUGUUAAAGAAGAACGUGGGUGAGAGUAACUGUUCACCCAGUGACGGUAUUUAACCAGAAAGCCACGGCUAACUACGUGCCAGCAGCCGCGGUAAU
rnacentral:rRNA from 2 species